UACGGAGGGUGCGAGCGUUAAUCGGAAUUACUGGGCGUAAAGAGUGCGUAGGCGGUUAUUUAAGUCAGAUGUGAAAGCCCCGGGCUCAACUUGGGAACGGCAUUUGAUACUGAAUAACUGGAGUUUGGGAGAGGUAAGUGGAAUUUCAGGUGUAGCGGUGAAAUGCGUAGAUAUCUGAAGGAACACCAGUGGCGAAGGCGACUUACUGGCCUGAAACUGACGCUGAGGCACGAAAGCAUGGGUAGCAAACAGG
rnacentral:rRNA from 1 species